GGAACUGCAAAUUGAACAGACAAAUCUUUUAUAUACAAUUCAAGCGUAAAUCUUCUGACGAAUUGGUUAAGCCUUCGGCUUAGUUAAACGGUCUGCAUGACUUUUAUAAAAAACUAGCGGCCCGCCCCGGCUUCGCUUGGGUAGUAGCGCACGUGAUGUAAAUAAUUUUAGGUUUUUUUUUUACACUGGGUUACAUUAUUGGAGUUUCAGUAAGGAUCCCUAAUUUUUUUGAAAAUAUAAUAAAUAUAGCCUAUGUCACCCGUGGAUAGCGUAGCUUUCCAACAGUGAAAGAAUUUUUUAAAUCAGUUCUGUAGUUUCGGAGCCUAUUCAAUACAAACAAACAAACAAAUCUUUCCUCUUUAUAAUAUUAGUAUAGACUAAACUAUAAUAUUACCGCCCAAUUUGAGACCUGAGUUUAAGUUGCAUUAGAAUAUCAGUUUCCAUACCGAACCAAAAUAAACGUAAAUAAAAAUAAAUAAACGUAACGUGGGACCGCCCCUUGGCUAGAACGGUGGUCGGCAAGAGGUUAAUAAGCAGAGCCGAAGAACCGACUCAAUGGUUUUUUUUUUAUGAUUGAAGGAUUACUAGUGGCCCGGAGGCCUUUCCAGUUUCACCAGGACAGGCGGGCGAGGAAAGGCUCAGCCAGAAGGGGUGGGAUUUGCUAACAGCUACCUGAGCGCCUCCGAAGGAGACCUAACAACUCAAGAGCAGCUGCUUCGCGAAUGAAUCUACUACCGGAUCGGAAUCGCGACCCGCUGAGAAGAUCCGGCGAGAAACAGCGAUCUUACACAUGGGUUAGGUUGCACGGCGAACUCUUUGUCGAGUUCGACGAGUACGGUUACCGGGGUCCCUAAGCCUGCUCCUAGUGUUAGAGCUGAAGGCGUCUAAUGCAAAGGUUAUUGGAUCUGGUGGAUCCGUAAGAACGUGUCUAGGGCGUCGACGGUGUCUGGCUCCUGCGUGAUCAGGAUUAGGGGGCUCAGUGGUAUGGAUUGGGAGAGGCUAUGGCUAGCAGUGGACGACUUUGGGCUGAUGAUGAUGAUGAUGAUUAUACCAGACCGAGUACAUGUAUUGUCAUUUUAAAUCCACAUGUCCUAGCAUUGCAAUUCAACAGUGUAACGGACAUUAAAUAUUGUAAAGAACGUAGUCGCCGUAAACUGGUUCUGUCCCAACAUAAAUACAACAAAAAUGUUUAUUCCAUUCUAUUAAAUCUAUUGUAUCCUUCUAGCGCCAUCUAGUGAAUUACUAUACACGUUAUAAAUCUCGUGACUGACUGCACAAUGUUGACACUGAAAUUAUUUGCUCAGUACAUUUAAACAAAUCAUUGGUGUUGAAACGGGAUCUUACAUGACAAUAAUGAUUUCGACUUUUUACCAGAAGACAGAUGGUAUCCGCAUCCGGUAUGGAUGUGAGUCCGCAAAGGUCGUUUCUGAACUCCGUAAAGAGAACUGCAACCGUCGCAUCAUCCUCCAUCACGACAAUGCGAGUUCUCACACCGCGCACAGAACAAGAGUUUUUAGAGCAAGAAAACAUAGAAUUAUUAGACCAUCCGCCGUACAGCCCCGACCUAAGCCCUAAUGAUUUCUAUACUUUCCCUAAAAUAAAGCAUAAAUUGCGUGGACAGAGAUUUUCAUCACCUGAAGAAGCUGUGGACGCCUACAAAAUGGCCAUUUUGGAGACCCCAACUUCCGAAUGGAAUGGUUGCUUCAAUGAUUGGUUCCAUCGUAUGGAAAAAUGUGUCAAAUUUCGCGAAGAAUACUUCGAAAAGCAAUAAAUACAUUUUUUAAUAGUAA